UACGGAGGGGGCUAGCGUUGUUCGGAAUUACUGGGCGUAAAGGGCGUGCAGGCGGUUUGUUAAGUCUAGGGUGAAAGCUCCCGGCUCAACUGGGAGAGGUCCUUGGAUACUGGCAGACUUGAGGAGGGUAGAGGAGAGUGGAAUUCCCGGUGUAGUGGUGAUAUGCGUAGAUAUCGGGAGGAACACCAGUGGCGAAGGCGGCUCUCUGGGCCCUACCUGACGCUGAGACGCGAAAGCGUGGGGAGCGAACCGG
rnacentral:rRNA from 1 species